UACGUAGGUGGCAAGCGUUGUCCGGAUUUACUGGGCGUAAAGCGCGCGCAGGUGGCGCGUCAAGUCUGGCGUGAAAGCCUCCGGCUCAACCGGAGGAGGCCACUGGAGACUGGCGUGCUCGAGGUGGGUAGGGGUCGGUGGAAUUCCCGGUGUAGUGGUGAAAUGCGUAGAUAUCGGGAGGAACACCAGUGGCGAAAGCGGCCGACUGGGCCCAACCUGACGCUGAGGCGCGAAAGCGUGGGGAGCGAACCGG
rnacentral:rRNA from 1 species